GCGAGUCCGUUGGUUUUUGUAUUUUGUUACGUCAGACCGCCAAAAUGGAAGAGGAUUAUUAUAUAUCUAAGCUUAAACAUGUCUCAAAACUGGACUUUCAGUCAAAAGUGGACGUGAUUACCACAGGUAGACCAACGCCGGAGCUAAAAGGAUACGUUUGGAAAGUCUGAUCCCUUCCUGGAGUUCUUUAAGAAGGGAGACGAUGGAAAGUGGCAGCUGGUCCACAGAACCGAGGUGGUGAAGAACAACCUGAGUCCCACCUGGAAGAAGUUCUCUGUUCCCCUGCAGACGUUCUGCGGCAGCGACCUCGACCGACCGCUGAAGGUGGAUUGCUCUGAUUACGACAGCGAUGGAACUCACGAUCUGAUUGGUUCCUUCACCACUAAAGUGUCCGGCUAUAAAACGUUUGACGACUUCCUGUCGGCCGGCCGGAGGUCGUUAGUAAACUGUCGACGUGUCGUCCUCCCAGGUGUCCUUUGACUGCAUCCACUCCGAGAAACAGAAGAAGAAGAAGAGCUACAAGAACUCUGGAGUCGUCUCUUUGAAGAGCUGCAAGAUGUCGACCCAUCACUCCUUCCUGGACUACGUGAUGGGCGGCUGCCAGAUCAACUUCACCGUACGGCGACACCAACACACACACACACACGUUUUAAAGGCUUUAUUUUAACCCACCAAUCACAUUCAAGCGAUUAAAAUAAGAUAAACAUGGCAACAUUUUGAUUUUGAAUGAUGGAUCUCUUGUG